rnacentral:tRNA from 1 species
GCGGAAGUAGUUCAGUGGUAGAACAUCACCUUGCCAUGGUGGGGGUCGCGGGUUCGAAUCCCGUCUUCCUCU